rnacentral:rRNA from 1 species
GCGGUAAAACCAGCUCUCCGAGUGGUGGGGACAAUUAUUGGGCUUAAAGCGUUCGUAGCCGGCUCAGCAAGUCUUCCGUUAAAUCCAACGAUCUAAUCGUUGGGCUGCGGGGAAUACUGCAGGGCUAGGGGGCGGGAGAAGUCGACGGUACUCUCGGGGUAGGGGUGAAAUCCUAUAAUCCCGG